AGCAGCCGCGGUAAUUCCAGCUCCAAUAGCGUAUAUUAAAGUUGUUGCAGUUAAAAGCUCGUAGUUGAAUUUCAGGCCUGGCUGGGCGGUCCGCCCUUCGGGUGAGUACUGCCUGUGGUCGGGUCCUACCUUCUGGCGAAGCGUCAUGGCCUUAACCGGCCGUGGCGGGGAACCAGGACUUUUACUGUGAAAAAUUAGAGUGUUUAAAGCAAGCUAACGCUUGAAUACAUUAGCAUGGAAUAAUGAAAUAGGACGUUCGAUCCUAUUUUGUUGGUUUCUAGGAUUGACGUAAUGAUUAAUAGGGAUAGUUGGGGGCAUUAGUAUUCAAUUGUCAGAGGUGAAAUUCUUGGAUUUAUUGAAGACUAACUACUGCGAAAGCAUUUGCCAAGGAUGUUUUCAUUAAUCAAGAACGAAGUUAGGGGAUCGAAGACGAUCAGAUACCGUCGUAGUCUUAACCAUAAAACUAUGCCGACUAGGGAUCGGAUGAUGUUAAUUUUUUAAUGACUCAUUCGGCGCCUUA
rnacentral:rRNA from 1 species